AUUGAACGCCGGCGGCAUGCUUUACACAUGCAAGUCGAACGGCAGCACGGGGGCAACCCUGGUGGCGAGUGGCGAACGGGUGAGUAAUGCAUCGGAACGUGCCCUGUCGUGGGGGAUAACACAUCGAAAGAUGUGCUAAUACCGCAUACGACCUGAGGGUGAAAGCGGGGGACCGUAAGGCCUCGCGCGAUAGGAGCGGCCGAUGUCUGAUUAGCUAGUUGGUGGGGUAAAGGCCUACCAAGGCGACGAUCAGUAGCUGGUCUGAGAGGACGACCAGCCACACUGGGACUGAGACACGGCCCAGACUCCUACGGGAGGCAGCAGUGGGGAAUUUUGGACAAUGGGGGCAACCCUGAUCCAGCCAUGCCGCGUGCGGGAAGAAGGCCUUCGGGUUGUAAACCGCUUUUGGCAGGAACGAAACGGUGCGGGCGAAUACCCUGUGCUAAUGACGGUACCUGCAGAAUAAGCACCGGCUAACUACGUGCCAGCAGCCGCAGUAAUAC
rnacentral:rRNA from 1 species